UUCCGUUCAAAACACUUGAGAUUGAGUAGUAAUAGUAGAUGUGGGGGGAUUCCACGGACUACACUGCUUAAUGGGGUUACGGU
ensembl:ncRNA T04A6.6 ncRNA